GAUGAACGCUGGCGGCGUGCCUAAUACAUGCAAGUCGAGCGAGCAGAUAAGGAGCUUGCUCCUUUGACGUUAGCGGCGGACGGGUGAGUAACACGUGGGUAACCUACCUAUAAGACUGGGAUAACUUCGGGAAACCGGAGCUAAUACCGGAUAAUAUUUCGAACCGCAUGGUUCGAUAGUGAAAGAUGGUUUUGCUAUCACUUAUAGAUGGACCCGCGCCGUAUUAGCUAGUUGGUAAGGUAACGGCUUACCAAGGCGACGAUACGUAGCCGACCUGAGAGGGUGAUCGGCCACACUGGAACUGAGACACGGUCCAGACUCCUACGGGAGGCAGCAGUAGGGAAUCUUCCGCAAUGGGCGAAAGCCUGACGGAGCAACGCCGCGUGAGUGAUGAAGGUCUUCGGAUCGUAAAACUCUGUUAUUAGGGAAGAACAUACGUGUAAGUAACUGUGCACGUCUUGGCGGUACCUAAUCAGAAAGCCACGGCUAACUACGUG
rnacentral:rRNA from 1 species